ensembl:misc_RNA
CUGCCUUAGACAAAGGAUGCGCUCCAGCCCCGCCACACCUAAAGCCACGCUUUGAAGGAUCUGCCAAGCUCACUUUUAAUCAGGAGAAAGAAAUUACCCACAUGGAGUCCGCAGAAAAUGAGAAAGUAGAGCUCGUGCUGCGAAUAAUUCCAGCAAGUGCCAAGGGGCUAGUUGAGGAAUGGCUUCAUGAAG